UACGUAGGGGGCAAGCGUUGUCCGGAUUUAUUGGGCGUAAAGAGCGUGUAGGCGGCCAGACAGGUCCGUUGUGAAAACUCGAGGCUCAACCUCGAGACGCCGAUGGAAACCGUCUGGCUAGAGUCCGGAAGAGGAGAGUGGAAUCCUGGUGUAGCGGUGAAAUGCGCAGAUAUCAGGAAGAACACCCGUGGCUAAGGCGGGUCUCUGGGCCGAUACUGACGCUGAGGAGCGAAAGCGUGGGGGAGCGAACAGG
rnacentral:rRNA from 1 species